rnacentral:rRNA from 1 species
AUGGCCACGCGCGACCGCGCCGCCCGCUCGGCGACGGCCCGCCUCAAGGAGAACGACACCCAGUCCCAGUCCCAGUAUGGCAAGCGCCAGCGCACGGCCGCGGGCCCGGCACCGCGCCCGCCGCUCUCCACGGCCCCCCAGAACGCCGCCGCGCCUCCCCCCGCGGAGGCCCCCAUCGAGUUCGCCGGGAGGGAGGACGUCGACGCCCUCCUCAACGAGAAGAUUAAGGGCAAGAACAAAAUGGAUUACAAGGGAAAGAGUGAGCAGAUGAUUGAGUACAUCAAGAAGCUGCGUGCUUGUAUCAAAUGGUUGCUCGAGAGGGAGGACGCAAACCUCGCUGAAAUCGGGAAACUCAAUGGCCUAAUCGAUGCUGCAGACAAACAUCAUGCUGAAAUUGUGUCUCAGUUGGAGUGCAAAAUCCAAGAAUCCGUGGCAAUGAAAGAGGAGCUUCAGAAACAAUAUGCCUCUUUAGGAGAGAGCCUAAAGAAAGUGGAAGCUGAAAAAAUGGAGUGCCUUCGAUCUUAUGGAGAUGAAAAGGAGGCUAGGAUUACUGCAGAAUCUUCAAGAAAUGAGCUUUCAGAAGAACUCAACAGAGUUAAGUUGGAGCAGAAGCGUCUUAAUGAUCAGAUCAAAAUGCUUCAAGAUACAAAUAAGAGGCUUCAAGAAUACAACACUAGCUUGCAGCAAUAUAAUUGCAACCUCCAAGCUGAUGCAACAAAGAAUGCUGAAACAAUAGAUAAGCUGCAAAAGGAGAAGAAUACUAUGGUUGAAACAAUGAAUGGUUUGAAAGAUCAUUCUAACUCAGUAAAGUUGCAGCUUGAUAUGACAAAGUCUUCACAGAGUGAAGCUUUGAAACAAAAAAAUAACUUAUUGAAUGAGGUUGAAGCUCUCAGAGCUGAAUUACACCAAGUAAGGGAUGACCGUGAUCAUAAAUCAGCUGAAAUAAAUUCGUUGUUGAGUGACUUGGGUGCGUACAAGGAAUUGACAGGAAAGUCUUCGUCAGAAUUAGAGAAUGUCAUGAUACGAUGUGAUGCACUUGAGGAAACUUGUUCAAACCAAACUGAGAAGAUUAAAACACUGCAAAUUCAACUUGCCUCGGCUAAUGAAAAGUUGAAGAGAUCUAAUUUGACAACUAUGGAGACAAUGAGUGAGUAUGAAAGCCAAAAGAGAAUGCUGGAGGACCUACAAUUACGUCUUACAGAAGCUGAGCAAAAAAUUGUGGAUGGGGAGAAGUUGCGGAAAAAACUACAUAAUACUAUACUCGAGCUUAAAGGAAAUAUUCGUGUUUUCUGCCGAGUCCGACCUUUAUUGUCAAAUGAAUCUGGAGCUGUUUCUUAUCCAAAUAAUGGAGAAAAUAUAGGUCGUGGUGUCGAGUUGAUGCAUAACACACAAUCAUAUUCAUUUGCGUUUGACAAAGUGUUUGAUCAUUCGGCAUCCCAGGAAGAUGUGUUUACUGAAAUUUCUCAGUUGGUUCAAAGUGCACUUGAUGGCUAUAAGGUAUGCAUAUUUGCUUAUGGGCAAACUGGUUCCGGCAAGACACAUACUAUGAUGGGAAAUCCUGAGUUCAAUGAUCAGAAAGGGUUAAUACCUAGAUCGCUUGAACAAAUUUUUCAAACUAGUCAAUGUCUUAUGUCACAAGGUUGGAAAUAUAAGAUGCAGGCUUCAAUGUUAGAAAUAUACAAUGAGACCAUACGUGACUUGUUAGCGACAAGUCGCACAUCUAUCCAAGAUGGUGCUGCUUCAAAAUAUAAUAUCAAACAUGAUGCAAAUGGUAAUACCCAGGUGUCUGACCUCACAAUCGUUGAUGUACGGAGUAUCAACGAAGUUUCUUCUCUGCUCAAACGGGCUGCACAAAGCAGAUCAGUAGGAAAAACACAAAUGAAUGAAGAAUCAUCUAGAAGUCACUGUGUUUUCACACUACGGAUUUUUGGUGUAAAUGAGGGAACAGAUCAACAAGUGCAAGGUGUUCUCAAUUUAAUUGAUCUUGCAGGCAGUGAACGGCUUAACAAAAGUGGUGCCACUGGGGAUAGACUCAAGGAAACCCAGGCUAUUAACAAGAGCUUGUCAUGCUUGAGUGAUGUUAUCUUCUCCAUUGCUAAGAAAGAGGAACACAUUCCAUUCAGGAACUCCAAACUGACGUAUUUACUCCAGCCAUGCUUGGGCGGAGACUCUAAGACGCUAAUGUUCGUGAAUUUGUCCCCGGAAGUGUCUUCUACAAGCGAGUCUAUUUGUUCACUUCGUUUUGCUGCUCGGGUGAACUCUUGUGAGAUCGGCGUCCCUCGUCGCCAGACUCAAAUGCGCAGCUUGUCACAAGGAUGA